rnacentral:rRNA from 1 species
GACGUAGGUGGCCAGCGUUGUCCGGAGUUACUGGGCGUAAAGGGUGCGUAGGCGGCCAAUUAAGUCAAGUGUGAAAGUCCCCGGCUCAACUGUGGGGGAGCGCUUGAAACUGGAUGGCUUGAGGUCGGGUCAGGCAGCGGGAAUUGCCAGUGUAGGGGUGAAAUCCGUAGAUAUUGGGAAGAACGCCUGUGGUGAAGACGCUCCUCUGGACUGAUACUGACACUGAGGCACGAAAGCCAGGGGAGCGAACGGG